GAUGAACAGGGAAGGAGGAGCAAGGUACUGGUUUGUCUGAAGGCUAAAUAAUUGCAUGUAAGCUCUUAGUUGACACAUUAGUAAGCUGGAAAUCAAGUCACAGCAAUGGCAAGCAGCAGGCCCGAACACUCUGAGCUCAUCGCGCAUCUGCAGCAAUUAAGUCUGGAUGUGGAGGAGAUGCAUAUGAAGGUGAGCUGUCUGCUUUUUUUUUUAAAUUGCCAUUUUCUAUAUUGUGAUAAGUGAAUACUUUGUUACGAAAUGAAGUUCCUGUUUGUUUUAACCAUCUCUCUCUCUUUGUGUCCUUCCUCCCCUCUUUUCUCUCCGCCUUUUUCUUAAUCUCUUCUCCCUCCAUCCAUCCUCCCCCACCCCCCACGAAACAUCCACUAAACUGUACUGAGCUUGAUCUCUGGUCACAAAUAUGUGAAAGACAAUGACAGUGAAGUCACUCAUACAGCAGUUGUGGUUGACUGAAGUGGGAUUCCUUCCCUCCUGUCCACACUACUCUUUCAUUCUCCCACUCUUAUUUCUCCUCUGGAGAAAUUCACAGAAUGCUGAAGCAGCUUAAAGCCAGAACGUGCCUUUGACAGCAAAGUACCAUGGGUGAAACAACCCAACAAUGACUAAGUGGGAUCUUUCUUUUAUCUUUCUUUACUGAAUUUGUACUAGUUAAACUUAAGUAUAAUCAAUCAUAUUUUAUAAUAAAUUAUUAUAUUUAUUUUGAUUGUUUAGAAGACCCACACUAUGUGUUUAUUUACACAGAUGCCACAUGAUGACAUUAUUGAGAUCAGUGAAUUCUUCCAGAAACUAAGUCUGGGGGAAGAAGAGAUGGAUGUGGAUGUGGAUUCAGAGAUGAUGGAUGUGGAUGUGGAUGUAGAGAAGAUGGAUGUGGAUGUGGAUGUAGAGAAGAUGGAUGAGAUGAUCAGACCGAUGAUCAGACAGAUGAUCAGACAGAUGAUCAGACAGAUGAACAGACAGAUGAACAGACAGAUCAUCACAGCCAGGAUCUGAUGGAUGAACAACUGGAGAUAUGCGACUGAAACAGCAACUCUCCAUUUUCAGAAGCUCUAUAUAUUUGGCACAUGUUGGACUUUUGUAUAUAUCUAACGUCUUCUUUAAUCACGCAUCUAUACUAAUACACAAAUAUAACUUCUGUCUUGUCUGGGGAUUAUUGUAAAUAUGUAUAUGUUACUUCUUUGCUUUGCUUUAUUAUUUAAUCUAUAUUGUAUUAAAUUUAAACAAAGUUUAAGUCCUCCAAAGUGGGGGGGUGGAUGGCAUGGGUUUAAAAAAAGAGUGAAACUAAUAAAAUGCAUGUGGCUCAAA